GAUGAACGCUAGCGACAGGCCUAACACAUGCAAGUCGAGGGGCAGCAUGGUAUCAGCUUGCUGAUACCGAUGGCGACCGGCGCACGGGUGAGUAACGCGUAUGUAAUCUGCCUGUAACAGAGGGAUAACCCGGAGAAAUCCGGCCUAAUACCUCAUAAUACAUAUUAUUCGCAUGAGUUUUAUGUUAAAGAAAUUCGGUUACAGAUGAACAUGCGUUCCAUUAGCUGGUUGGCGGGGUAACGGCCCACCAAGGCGACGAUGGAUAGGGGUUCUGAGAGGAAGGUCCCCCACACUGGUACUGAGACACGGACCAGACUCCUACGGGAGGCAGCAGUGAGGAAUAUUGGUCAAUGGGCGAGAGCCUGAACCAGCCAAGUCGCGUGGAGGAUGAAGGUCCUACGGAUUGUAAACUUCUUUUAUACGGGAAUAAAGUUUCCUACGUGUAGGAUUUUGUAUGUACCGUAUGAAUAAGCAUCGGCUAACUCCGUGCCAGCAGCCG
rnacentral:rRNA from 1 species